UGUUAGGUCAAGGUGCAGUUUUUUGGAGCAAUUAUAUGGGUUACUUUUUUAAUAUGAAUGGAUUGAUUUUUUAGAAAGAUUUUUGAAAAAGGAUUUGAAAGUAAAAUUUAUUUAAAUUGAGUAUUUAUAUGAAUAAAGAUUCUGAAAUAUGUACACAUUGCCCGUCACUCUUAUAUAAAGUAAGAUAAGUCGUAACAUAGUAGGUGUACCGGAAGGUGUACCUGGAAAUAUAAGGAGUAAGUAGCUAAAUAUUUAAGUAUAUUUUUUACACUAAUAUGAUAUYAAAAUGAUUUUACUUUUAAUUUGAUUUAUUUAAACUAAAAAGUUAAUAUAUUAUUAUAAUCUUAUCUGUGAAGGGGAGAUCACAUAUGAUUUUUAUAAUGUAUAAUAAUUGUACCUUUUGUAUCAGGGUUAAUUUAAAUGUAAUUAAAAAUGUAAUUUUCUCGAAAGGGGAAGAUUUAAGAUAUUUUAAUGUUACUGUGUCAUAAUUAAGGUUAAAUAUAUCUUGUUUUUGAUAAAAAUGGAGAUUUUUUAUAUCUAGUUACUUUCUAUUUUGGUUUAAUCAAUUCAGUUUUUGUAAUAUUUAUAAUAACAAAUAACAUUUAUGGGGAUAAUCUUAUAUUUAUUUUAAUAGUUCUAAUUGAUUUUAUUUAUUUUCUUAUGUUUAGAAUUAGCUUAUUGUAUGUAGUAAUUAUAUUAAUAUAUCACUAAUAUUAUUAGUCAACUUUAAGGGGAGAUAAAGUUGUUUAAAUUUUAUUAGUUUUUUAUAUUAAUAAUGAUUGAAUUAGUAGAAUUUUUUAAUAGUAAUUAAGAAUUUAGCAAAAUUUAAUCUUCGUUUGUUUAUCAAAAACAUUUUUGGGGAGAAGAAAAUAUUUUUUGAUAGUGCCUGCU
rnacentral:rRNA from 1 species